GUCUUGGUCUGUUACCCAGGCUGGAGUACAGUGGUGCAAUCUCAGCUCACUGCAACCUUUACCUCCUGGGUUCAAGCGAUUCUCCUGCCUCAGCCUCCCAAGUAGUUGGGAUUACAGGCAUAUGUCUGCUAAUUUUUUUUUUUAUUUUAUUUUAGUAGAGAUGGUGUUUAGUAGAGAUGGCCUCCUGGCCUCAAGUGAUGCACCCCCUUUAGCCUCCCAAAGUGCUGGGAUUACAGGCAUGAGCAACUUCACCUGGCUUCAUAAUUUAUUCUUAUGUAAUUUAUACGUUUUGUACUUACAUGAACUUUUAAACUUUUAACAACAUUUCAAUAUUUAAUAUGCUAUGAAAGUUAAAAUUUAAAAAAAUCAAAAUGCAUCCAUGCAGUUUAUCAGAUGUAAAUAUAGGAACUUGAAAAUGCAGUUAAUGCUUUUACAGAUUAUAAUCAAUUGUUGUUUUACCAGUUACUUUUAAUUUUAUAAAAUUUAAAGCUCAUGAAAGCCUAACAACAUAUAUUUGUCACAAAGUAGUUUUACUUAUUUUUCAAAGAAAUAGUAUGAAUGCAGAAAUGGAUUUCACUACAAAAGUGUCAAAUUUUUUUUCAGUAAUUGGAGUCAUAAGUCAUUUUUAGCCAUCUUACUCCCUUUGAAUUGGUGCUUUUAUGUUGCCUAAGAAUAUGUUGAUACAUUUUCAUUGCCUAAAUUUGGUUGAAGAAUGCUGCGUGUAUAAAGACAAGCUACCACCUGAAAUUCUCAGGUCAACAUUUAAAUUUAAAGGUCUUUUUUAUUGUUGGCUGUUGUGCUAAAUCUUAACCAUAUAGCAAAUCUGAAGUAGCAAUCCAAUCUAUAUUAAAAAACUAAAUAACACUUGAUAUGAUUUGGCUGUGUUGCCACCCAAAUCUUAUCUUGAAUUCUCAUGUAUUGUAGGAGGGACCCAGUGGGAGGUAAUUAAAUCAUGGGGGCAGGUUUUUCCCAUGCUGUUCUCAUGACGAAGUCUCACAAGAUCUGUGGGUUUUAAAAAUGGGACUUUCCCCUCACAAGCUCUCUCUCUGUUUGCCUGCUGCCAUCCAUGUAAGACGUGACUUGCUCUGCCUUGCCUUCCAUCAUGAUUGUGAGGACUCUCCAGCCACAUGCAACUCCACAGAAGAUUAAGAAUGAAGGAGGGGAGUAUGUGCAAAGAACCAUCAUACUUAAUUCCCACCUCUUCAAACUGCUAGAGCCACAGACAAUCCUGGAAUACCCCAAAAGAGAGGAGGAUUCCAUGCUGCUGCUCCGCCAUGCUUCACACCAAUCAAUAAGAAGUGUUUCCAGCUGUAUCUACGAAAUGUCUCUCCAGAAUCACUGACAAUUCGGUUCACAUCAUAUGGCAAUUAGAUAAUUUUCUGAUGACUUUUAACUUACCUCCUCUCUUUUGACUUCUCCCUACACCAUAUCAGUGUCCAAAGUGUUGCCAAAACCACUUCGAAAAUGCACAUCUGUUUCUGUCUCUCCCUUAUAUUAUGCCUUCAAAUCAUGACUUCUUAAAAUGAUAUAAGGAAUUUUUACAGUUGGGUAAAAAAUUAAGUUGGAGCCUCCUUUAUAAUUGUUCCUGUACAUUUGCCAUCCCUCCAGACUUAAAGAAUAAAUUGAAGAACUUUGUACAGAAUAUUGACUUUCCUGUUGAUGUGCCAUCAUUUAGUACAGGAGAAACAACUCAGUGUAUACCUAUCUGCAAACUUUUCUAAUGAUAAUUUGUGCCUAUAGUCCUAUACUGAUGUGAAGUGUGAAAAAAUAUAUACCAGGAGAAACAAAGGAGAAUGGCACCAUAUAAUUGGUAGAUUUUCAUCCCAUAGUUUAUUUUCGUAUUUGCCUGCAAGGUCUUUUUUCAUACACUAAAUCAAGCCCUGCCUGUUUUGAAAUCAUCAUCGACACCCCUUCAAAGCACAGUUAAGUACACCUUCUCUGGUUUCACAUGACAAUCUGAUUGCACUGGAUUACAGUCAAAACUUUUGUGUCUGUCUGUGCAAUUUCUGAUGUCCUUAAGGGCAGGGACAAUGUUUUUCCCAAUUUUGUAUUGCCAGUGCCUAGCACAAUCCCUGACUUUUUGUAGAUAGAACUUUUUUCCACCAAUUGUAUAAUUUAAUGAAUCACACAUAUAGACUCUAAUGAUUACAUGAAUAUUAUUAAUUGAUACUCAAUGUUUGUGGUCUAAUAUUAUUUUUCUUGAAAUAAAUUAAGAUAUAUUUAAUAUAAUAAAAUUAAAACUACAAAAUAAAACAAACAUUUAUAACUUGAA
rnacentral:lncRNA from 1 species